GACGAACGCUGGCGGCGUGCCUAAUACAUGCAAGUCGAGCGGUCCCUUCGGGGAUAGCGGCGGACGGGUGAGUAACACGUAGGCAACCUGCCUGUAAGACUGGGAUAACUAUCGGAAACGAUAGCUAAGACCGGAUAGCUGAAUUUCUCGCAUGAGAGAAUCAAGAAACACGGAGCAAUCUGUGGCUUACAGAUGGGCCUGCGGCGCAUUAGCUAGUUGGUGAGGUAACGGGCCACCAAGGCGACGAGGCGUAGCCGACCUGGGGGGGUGACCGGCCACACUGGGAAUGCGACACGGCCCAGACUCCUACGGGAGGCAGCAGUAGGGAAUCUUCCGCAAUGGACGCAAGUCUGACGGAGCAACGCCGCGUGAGUGAUGAAGGUUUUCGGAUCGUAAAGCUCUGUUGCCAGGGAAGAACGCUUAGGGGAGUAACUGCCCUUAAGGUGACGGUACCUGAGAAGAAAGCCCCGGCUAACUACGUGCCAGCCGCCGCGGUAAAAC
rnacentral:rRNA from 1 species